rnacentral:rRNA from 1 species
GUCGAGCGAACGGACGAGAAGCUUGCUUCUCUGAUGUUAGCGGCGGACGGGUGAGUAACACGUGGAUAACCUACCUAUAAGACUGGGAUAACUUCGGGAAACCGGAGCUAAUACCGGAUAAUAUUUUGAACCGCAUGGUUCAAAAGUGAAAGACGGUCUUGCUGUCACUUAUAGAUGGAUCCGCGCUGCAUUAGCUAGUUGGUAAGGUAACGGCUUACCAAGGCAACGAUGCAUAGCCGACCUGAGAGGGUGAUCGGCCACACUGGAACUGAGACACGGUCCAGACUCCUACGGGAGGCAGCAGUAGGGAAUCUUCCGCAAUGGGCGAAAGCCUGACGGAGCAACGCCGCGUGAGUGAUGAAGGUCUUCGGAUCGUAAAACUCUGUUAUUAGGGAAGAACAUAUGUGUAAGUAACUGUGCACAUCUUGACGGUACCUAAUCAGAAAGCCACGGCUAACUACGUGCCAGCAGCCGCGGUAAUACGUAGGUGGCAAGCGUUAUCCGGAAUUAUUGGGCGUAAAGCGCGCGUAGGCGGUUUUUUAAGUCUGAUGUGAAAGCCCACGGCUCAACCGUGGAGGGUCAUUGGAAACUGGAAAACUUGAGUGCAGAAGAGGAAAGUGGAAUUCCAUGUGUAGCGGUGAAAUGCGCAGAGAUAUGGAGGAACACCAGUGGCGAAGGCGACUUUCUGGUCUGUAACUGACGCUGAUGUGCGAAAGCGUGGGGAUCAAACAGGAUUAGAUACCCUGGUAGUCCACGCCGUAAACGAUGAGUGCUAAGUGUUAGGGGGUUUCCGCCCCUUAGUGCUGCAGCUAACGCAUUAAGCACUCCGCCUGGGGAGUACGACCGCAAGGUUGAAACUCAAAGGAAUUGACGGGGACCCGCACAAGCGGUGGAGCAUGUGGUUUAAUUCGAAGCAACGCGAAGAACCUUACCAAAU